rnacentral:lncRNA from 1 species
AGUCACAUCCAUUCAGUUGUGUGAAUACCACAGUCACAUCCAUCCAGUUGUGUGAAUACCACAGUCACAUCCAUUCAGCUGUGUGAAUACCACAGUCACAUCCAUUCAGUUGUGUGAAUACCGUAGUCUCAUCCAUUCAGCCGUGUCAAUACCAGUCAUAUCCAUCAGCUGUGUAAAUAUCAAGAUUAUAUCCAUUCAGUUGUGUGAAUACCAUAGUCACAUCCAUUCAGCUGUGUGAAUAUCAC